UACAGAGGUCCCAAGCGUUGUUCGGAUUCACUGGGCGUAAAGGGUGCGUAGGCGGGUUUCUAAGUCAGAGGUGAAAUCCUGGAGCUCAACUCCAGAACUGCCUUUGAUACUGGAAGUCUUGAGUAUGGGAGAGGUGAGUGGAACUGCGAGUGUAGAGGUGAAAUUCGUAGAUAUUGGGAAGAACACCGGUGGCGAAGGCGGCUCUCGUGGACCGAUACGUGACGCGA
rnacentral:rRNA from 1 species